rnacentral:snRNA from 1 species
GUGCUCACUUCAGCAGCACAUAUACUAAAAUUGGAAUCAUACAGAGAAGAUUAGCAUGGCUGCUGUGCAAGGAUAACAUGCAAAUUUGUGAAGUGUUCCAUAUUUUU